rnacentral:rRNA from 1 species
GCUUACGGCCACACCGCCUGGUUCACGCUUGAUCUCGGAAGCUAAGAUAGGUUGGGCCUGGUAAGUACUUGGAUGGGAUACCGCCUGGGAAUACCAGGUGCUGUAAGCU